rnacentral:tRNA from 1 species
GGCGGUGUAGCUCAGUGGUAGAGCACGCGGCUCAUAACCGCGGAGUCCCGGGUUCAAAUCCCGGCACCGCUACCA